UACGUAGGGCGCAAGCGUUGUCCGGAAUUAUUGGGCGUAAAGAGCUCGUAGGCGGCCAGUUGCGUCUGCUGUGAAAUCCCGGGGCUCAACCCCGGGCGUGCAGUGGAUACGGGCUGGCUAGAGGCAGGCAGGGGAGAACGGAAUUCCCGGUGUAGCGGUGAAAUGCGCAGAUAUCGGGAGGAACACCGGUGGCGAAGGCGGUUCUCUGGGCCUGUACUGACGCUGAGGAGCGAAAGCGCGGGGAGCGAACAGG
rnacentral:rRNA from 1 species